UAAUACCGAAUACACCCUGCUGGUUGCAUGGCCUGGUGGGGGAAAGCUUUUGCGGUGUGGGAUGGGCCCGCGGCCUAUCAGCUUGUUGGUGAGGUUACGGCUCACCAAGGCGACGACGGGUAGCCGGCCUGAGAGGGUGACCGGCCACACUGGGACUGAGAUACGGCCCACACUCCUACGGGAGGCAGCAGUGGGGAAUAUUGCACAAUGGGCGCAAGCCUGAUGCAGCGACCCCGCGUGGGGGAUGACGGCCUUCGGGUUGUAAACCUCUUUGCACUAGGGACAAGCGCAAGUGACGGUACCUACAGAAGAAGGACCGGCCAACUACGUGCCAGCACCGGUAU
rnacentral:rRNA from 1 species